rnacentral:rRNA from 1 species
GCAUUAAGCACUCCGCCUGGGGAGUACGACCGCAAGGUUGAAACUCAAAGGAAUUGACGGGGGCCCGCACAAGCGGUGGAGCAUGUGGUUUAAUUCGAAGCAACGCGAAGAACCUUACCAGGUCUUGACAUCCUUUGACCACUCUAGAGAUAGAGCUUCCCCUUCGGGGGCAAAGUGACAGGUGGUGCAUGGUUGUCGUCAGCUCGUGUCGUGAGAUGUUGGGUUAAGUCCCGCAACGAGCGCAACCCUUAUUGUUAGUUGCCAUCAUUCAGUUGGGCACUCUAGCAAGACUGCCGGUGACAAACCGGAGGAAGGUGGGGAUGACGUCAAAUCAUCAUGCCCCUUAUGACCUGGGCUACACACGUGCU